rnacentral:sRNA from 1 species
AGAGUUAGAACACAGUCAGGUGUAUGGCUGUUGCAGCUAAAGCUGCCUAAUGUCAUUAUAUAUUCAAGGUGUCCCUUUCAGAUGCCCUGGAAGCUGGGAGUGACGCCCGGGCGCAUUCCCUCCUUUCUCGCAUACAGGCUUGGGAUUAGCUGGGAAGUUUUGGAAGGAGGCCGUUUUCAUGCUGCUUGUAAUCUGGAACUUUUCUCCCUCCUGUCUUUUCCCAACUUAUUGACGUCCCUGGGCAGGUUCACUCAUCAUCAGAAUAACACCAUCACGCUCAAGAGGAGCUUAAUUCUCUCGAGCAGACACGGCAUCCGGCGCAAGCUCAUCAAACAGCUCGGGGAGCACAAACGGGUUUACCAGUGCAAUAUCUGCAGCAAGAUCUUCCAGAACAGCAGCAACCUGAGCAGGCACGUGCGCUCACAUGGUGACAAGCUGUUUAAGUGCGAAGAGUGUGCAAAAUUGUUCAGCCGCAAAGAGAGCCUAAAGCAGCACGUUUCUUACAAGCACAGCAGGAACGAGGUGGACGGCGAGUACAGGUACCGCUGCGGCACUUGUGAGAAGACCUUCCGCAUCGAGAGCGCGCUGGAGUUCCACAACUGCAGGACAGAUGACAAGACGUUCCAAUGUGAGAUGUGUUUCAGAUUCUUCUCCACCAACAGCAACCUCUCCAAGCACAAGAAGAAGCACGGCGACAAGAAGUUUGCCUGUGAGGUCUGCAGCAAGAUGUUCUACCGCAAGGACGUCAUGCUGGACCACCAGCGCCGGCACCUGGAAGGAGUGCGGCGAGUGAAGCGAGAGGAUCUGGAGGCCGGCGGGGAGAACCUGGUCCGCUACAAGAAGGAGCCUUCCGGGU